UACGUAGGGUGCAAGCGUUGUCCGGAAUUAUUGGGCGUAAAGAGCUCGUAGGCGGUCUGUCACGUCUGCUGUGAAAACUCGGGGCUUAACCCCGGGCCUGCAGUGGGUACGGGCAGACUAGAGUGCGGUAGGGGAGACUGGAAUUCCUGGUGUAGCGGUGAAAUGCGCAGAUAUCAGGAGGAACACCGGUGGCGAAGGCGGGUCUCUGGGCCGUAACUGACGCUGAGGAGCGAAAGCAUGGGGAGCGAACAGG
rnacentral:rRNA from 1 species